rnacentral:tRNA from 1 species
GGAAGAGUCCAACUAGCCUGCUAAUCUAGUACCCCAAGCCCAACCACUUGGCUCUUC